UGAGCCCAGGAAGGGAUGUGCUUAAAUU
rnacentral:piRNA from 1 species